rnacentral:rRNA from 1 species
ACACAUGCAAGUCGAACGAAAUCUUUAGGGAUUUAGUGGCGGACGGGUGAGUAACGCGUGAGAAUCUAGCUCUAGGUCUGGGACAACCACUGGAAACGGUGGCUAAUACCGGAUGUGCCGAGAGGUGAAAGGUUAACUGCCUAGAGAUGAGCUCGCGUCUGAUUAGCUAGUUGGAAGUGUAACGGACUCCCAAGGCGACGAUCAGUAGCUGGUCUGAGAGGACGAUCAGCCACACUGGGACUGAGACACGGCCCAGACUCCUACGGGAGGCAGCAGUGGGGAAUUUUCCGCAAUGGGCGAAAGCCUGACGGAGCAAUACCGCGUGAGGGAGGAAGGCUCUUGGGUCGUAAACCUCUUUUCUCAGGGAAGAACACAAUGACGGUACCUGAGGAAUAAGCAUCGGCUAACUCCGUGCCAGCAGCCGCGGUAAUACGGAGGAUGCAAGCGUUAUCCGGAAUGAUUGGGCGUAAAGCGUCCGCAGGUGGCAAUGUAAGUCUGCUGUUAAAGAGUCUAGCUCAACUAGAUAAGAGCAGUGGAAACUACAUAGCUAGAGUACGUUCGGGGCAGAGGGAAUUCCUGGUGUAGCGGUGAAAUGCGUAGAGAUCAGGAAGAACACCGGUGGCGAAGGCGCUCUGCUAGGCCGUAACUGACACUGAGGGACGAAAGCUAGGGGAGCGAAUGGGAUUAGAUACCCCAGUAGUCCUAGCCGUAAACGAUGGAUACUAGGCGUGGCUUGUAUCGACCCGAGCCGUGCCGUAGCUAACGCGUUAAGUAUCCCGCCUGGGGAGUACGCCGGCAACGGUGAAACUCAAAGGAAUUGACGGGGGCCCGCACAAGCGGUGGAGUAUGUGGUUUAAUUCGAUGCAACGCGAAGAACCUUACCAAGGCUUGACAUGUCGCGAAUCUUGACGGAAGUUGAGAGUGCCUUCGGGAGCGCGAACACAGGUGGUGCAUGGCUGUCGUCAGCUCGUGUCGUGAGAUGUUGGGUUAAGUCCCGCAACGAGCGCAACCCUCGUUUUUAGUUGCCAGCAUUAAGUUGGGCACUCUAGAGAGACUGCCGGUGACAAACCGGAGGAAGGUGGGGAUGACGUCAAGUCAGCAUGCCCCUUACGCCUUGGGCUACACACGUACUACAAUGCUACGGACAAAGGGCAGCUACACAGCAAUGUGAUGCAAAUCUCAUAAACCGUAGCUCAGUUCAGAUCGCAGGCUGCAACUCGCCUGCGUGAAGGAGGAAUCGCUAGUAAUUGCAGGUCAGCAUACUGCAGUGAAUUCGUUCCCGGGCCUUGUACACACCGCCCGUCACACCAUGGAAGCUGGUAGUGCCCGAAGUCAUUACUCCAACCAUUCGUGGAGGAGGAUGCCUAAGGCAGGACUGGUGACUGGGGUGAAGUCGUAACAAGGUAGCCGUACCGGAAGGUGUGGCUGGAUCACCUCCUUUUUAGGGAGACCUACACCCCUUAGAUAUCGAAAAACAUACAGUUAAAUAGAUACUGAGUUGGUCUAACCUAGGUCGGUCGAGAUUGGUAAAUAGCUUUCAAAGUAUUAGUGGUUCGGUAAAUAAAAAAUUCUAAUAAAGCAAGAGAGUUCAGCAAUAUGGCUUUAUGGAGUCAGACUGCUGAGUAAGUUCUCAGCCAGAACCUUGAAAACUGCAUAGUAACGCGAAAUUAGCAGGCAGACACAGACAUUCCGAA